UACGUAGGGGGCAAGCGUUGUCCGGAAUCAUUGGGCGUAAAGCGCGUGUAGGCGGCCCGGUAAGUCCGCUGUGAAAGUCCAGGGCUCAACCCUGGAAUGCCGGUGGAUACUGUCGGGCUCGAGUCCGGAAGAGGCGAGUGGAAUUCCUGGUGUAGCGGUGAAAUGCGCAGAUAUCAGGAGGAACACCAAUGGCGAAGGCAGCUCGCUGGGACGUCACUGACGCUGAGACGCGAAAGCGUGGGGAGCAAACAGG
rnacentral:rRNA from 1 species